rnacentral:lncRNA from 1 species
CGCGCCUGCGCCCCGCGCCCGCGGCGGCCGAGCCGGGGCAGCUGCUGAGCGCCGCGGCGGCGGCGGAGACAAAGCGCCGGGUAAUGAAUGGGACGGGCCCGCCCGGCCCUUCCUCUUAACUCCUUCGGGCCCGGCCGGGCGGCGGCAGCGGCGACCUCCGGUUUCCCCCGCGGCGGCCGCCCGGGGAGAUACAAUCAUCUCAUUAAGUUUGAGUAGCAAGUAUUUAACCUCAAAUGAAGCCGCCUGCCUGCCUUGGAACAGAUGUGAACAGAUCUACCACACCUUCAUCUCACUAUCAGGAUGUUUAGCUUUGGGACUGAUGAGUCAGGCUGGUGUCAGCGUUAUUCAACACCAAAAGCAUCAUGGUGCUCCCUUCUUCAUUUACCACUUGUGGGUUUGCAGACGGCAUUGUUCGAGUUGGUUCACAGCAUUCCAGGCAGAAUUCAGCUACACUGCUGAACAGGGACACCAGAAUUAAAUGUCAGCCCGAUGUAAAUAAUAUACAUGCUGACUUGAACAUCCUUCUUUCUACUUUCUAUCUUUCACACUUUAAAUAAUAUGAAAUGUAUAAUAUUGUAUAAUAGUAAUGUAUCAUAUUUUAAAAGCAUUAUCACAAUUCUUUUAAGAAGUUUUAUGAUUGAGGAUAUGCGAGUGUAAGAACUGG